UGCCAGAGUGGCCGAAUGGGACGGAUUCGAAAUCCGUUGUACCUUCACCGGUACCUAGGGUUCGAAUCCCUA
rnacentral:tRNA from 1 species